rnacentral:rRNA from 1 species
UACGAAGGUGGCAAGCGUUAUUCGGAUUUACUGGGCGUACAGGGAGCGUAGGCGGUUCGGUAAGCCCUUUGUGAAAUCUUCAGGCUUAACCUGAAAAAGUCGGAGGGGACUGCCGGGCUAGAGGACGGGAGAGGAGCGCGGAAUUCCCGGUGUAGCGGUGAAAUGCGUAGAUAUCUGGAGGAACACCGGUGGCGAAGGCGGCCUUCUGGACGGAUACUGACGCUGAGACGCGAAAGCGUGGGGAGCAAACAGG